AACAGCCGCUCCACCCGGGACCAGAAAAGUGGCCAGUGCGUCCCGGCCGCCCGCCCUGCGCCGGGGAUGCGGCGGCGUCGGCGCCGGCUAACGGUCCAGGGAGGCGGCAGGGGCGGCGGGAGCCGCUAGGCGGAGAGAGACCAGGCCCUGGUUCUUUCUGGCAGGGACUUGAAAGAGAAUCUACUUGAUCCAGCCCCAGAAGCCACUGGGAAGCUGCUUAUGGAACUGGGCAAGAGGGCAGUAUAGACACCUGCUUCGCUGAUAGUGCUGCUGGCAGCCCCGCCUGCUAUUCCUAGCGCCUUUUGUGCUAUACUGCAGGACCAAACAGAGACUCCAGCUUUGGUAAUGU
rnacentral:lncRNA from 10 species